rnacentral:rRNA from 1 species
ACGUAGGGGGCAAGCGUUAUCCGGAUUUACUGGGUGUAAAGGGAGCGUAGACGGCUGUGCAAGUCUGAAGUGAAAGGCAUGGGCUCAACCUAUGGACUGCUUUGGAAACUGUGCAGCUAGAGUGUCGGAGAGGUAAGUGGAAUUCCUAGUGUAGCGGUGAAAUGCGUAGAUAUUAGGAGGAACACCAGUGGCGAAGGCGGCUUACUGGACGAUGACUGACGUUGAGGCUCGAAAGCGUGGGGAGCAAACAG